UCGCGCGUGUACCAAACAUACACAAACAUAAAUUUAUAUAAAAAUUACACACACUUCGAAGGUAAAAACACUACGUACACUCGGCCUAUACAACGGCUGCUUUCGGGUGGCGGGGGGGGGGGGGUUCUCUCUUACUCUCCCGCUCACUCCUCGGACGACAAAUCCGCCGUCGCCGAUUUUUUUUAUUAUUCACCUUCAUAUUGUUAUAUUUUUACGCAGCUGUAAGCGUGUGCAUACACGCAGGUGCGUCAGAUGAUGGAUUUAUCCUUUUUUAACCGUCCGAUAUCACGACGAAACUGACGGUAAUGCAAUGAGAGAUCUUGAUGGUGGCCGGAGGACGAGCAUGGUCAAGAGACUGCAGUACCCCUGUGAUGUGUGUACAACUAACAAUAGCGAUUUACCCAAAAUGGUAAUCUUAUGGUUCACCAGCAGACGCAUAUGGGAGAGAAAACGUACUAGUGUGCGACGUGUGUCCAAAGUUGUUCGUAACCAGCAGUAAUCUCAAGGUAACAUAUUAGAAAAGUUCAAAGAUCGAAGUAAGGAAAUUAAUCACAAGGCCUCAAGGGACACGUGAGGGCUCUGCGUGAUGGAUGCCAUAUUUUUCACUGGAUUGGAAUAUUGGUUAAGUAAUAAUCCAACUCUG